CAACUAAAGCCGAACGUCCCCCUGGCUGUUAUACGCACUCGGAGGAAUGAAGCCCCACCACGAAAGUGGCUUUACACCCACCUGAACCCACGACAACUAAGAAACAAACUGGGAUUAGAUACCCCACUAUGCUUAGCCGUAAACCCUGAUAUUAAAAUACAACUAAUAUCCGCCAGGGGACUACAAGCGCCAGCUUGAAACCCAAAGGACUUGGCGGUACUUCAGACCCACCUAGAGGAGCCUGUUCUAGAACCGAUAACCCCCGUUCAACCUCACCACCCCUUGUUUUCCCCGCCUAUAUACCGCCGUCGUCAGCUUACCCUGUAAAGGCCCCAUAGUAAGCAAAAUGGGCACAGCCCAAAACGUCAGGUCGAGGUGUAGCGCAUGAGGUGGAAAGAAAUGGGCUACAUUUCCUAAAGUAGGACACCACAGACGAUGCUAUGAAACCUAGCACCCGAAGGUGGAUUUAGCAGUAAGAAGAAAACAGAGAGUUUUUCUGAAGCCGGCUCUGAGAUGCGUACACACCGCCCGUCACUCUCCCCAAACCCACACCUUCCAGUAACUAAAAAGACAACCGGACCAAGGGGAGGCAAGUCGUAA
rnacentral:rRNA from 1 species